rnacentral:rRNA from 1 species
UGGGGAAUAUUGGACAAUGGGCGCAAGCCUGAUCCAGCCAUGCCGCGUGAGUGACGAAGGCCCUAGGGUUGUAAAGCUCUUUCAGUGGUGACGAUGAUGACGGUAGCCACAGAAGAAGCCCCGGCUAACUCCGUGCCAGCAGCCGCGGUAAUACGGAGGAGGCAAGCGUUAUCCGGAAUCAUUGGGCGUAAAGCGUUCGCAGGCGGCGAUUCAAGUCUGCUGUCAAAGCCCGCAGCUCAACUGCAGACAGGCAGUGGAAACUGAAUCGCUAGAGUGCGGCAGGGGUAGAGGGAAUUCCCGGUGUAGCGGUGAAAUGCGUAGAUAUCGGGAAGAACACCAGUGGCGAAAGCGCUCUACUGGGCCGCAACUGACGCUCAGGGACGAAAGCUAGGGGAGCGAAAGGGAUUAGAUACCCCCGUAGUCC